rnacentral:lncRNA from 1 species
AAUCAGGCAUAAAAUUGAUAGAUUUAAUUCUGACACAUGACCAGCGGUGAGUAGCAAUAACAAAGGUGCCAUAAAAUAAAAUACUGGGACUUGAGAAAACAACAUCAAACCACACAUCCCAUUCUUUUUUCCCUCUUUUUUUUUUUUUGAGAUGGACACAUCCUAUUCUAUGUCCAUAGGAUCCGUGGUGUCGUCCCCUUGUUCUACUUGGGCGUUCUGCAGAUUUUGUCCACAAAAGCUCUCAUACAUCAACGGGACAGCAGGCAGCAGCUUCUUGUUAGCGGAACCAGGCAACACCAUCCCAGGUCUUUUCACGUUACCCUUUGCUCCUGCACAGCGAAACAUUCCCAUGUUAAGAAUGACGAGUCGAAACUAGUAGCUCAAGACUGCGAAUGCUAAAUAUAAGCCAGAUCAGGCCAGCUUGAAUAAAUUCCAGUUCCAGAAUUAAUGUAGCAACAAGCAGGUGAUGUGCUCUUUCGCGUGUCCAUUUUGGUGCGAGAUUUCGUUAUGAUGAUGUUUAGCACCAGACCAGAGUCUUAGGCCUGCAAGCACUCCCUCCGCCCUAUAAUAUAAGAUGUUAUUACAACCAAUGUAUUUUUAUUUUGGUUGUAGUAAUAUCCUCUAUUAUUGGCUGGAGGUAUUACAUUUUACUGGACCUCGCGUUAACAGGGCCUCACUGGAGCAAAAGGAUUACAUAAAUCUCUCAACGGUAAUGGACUUGAAACGGUUGUAGUAUAUAUACAUGAAGAGGAAUUUUAUUUGAUAUAUCUGAGAACUGGGCACUAAAUAAUGGUGAGACAGGGAUGAUGUCGUCGUUACCUGGUGGAGUCAGAUGCUUGGAGAUGGUGGUUGGGAUGUAGGUGAACUCCAAGCUGUGCCUGCUACGUGGUCUGAACUCAGUAACUCCUUGCAACUUCUUCUUUGUGUUCACAGC